rnacentral:rRNA from 1 species
UACGUAGGGUGCAAGCGUUGUCCGGAAUUAUUGGGCGUAAAGAGCUCGUAGGCGGUUCGUCGCGUCGGCUGUGAAAACCCGGAGCUCAACUCCGGGCCUGCAGUCGAUACGGGGCGGACUAGAGUUCGGCAGGGGGAGACUGGAAUUCCUGGUGUAGCGGUGAAAUGCGCAGAUAUCAGGAGGAACACCGGUGGCGAAGGCGGGUCUCUGGGCCGAUACUGACGCUGAGGAGCGAAAGCGUGGGGAGCGAACAGG